rnacentral:rRNA from 1 species
AGUUCUGAUUAUUGAAAGGUGCUUGCAUCUUGAUUUAGAUUUUGAACGAGUGGCGGACGGGUGAGUAACACGUGGGUAACCUGCCCUUAAGUGGGGGAUAACAUUUGGAAACAGAUGCUAAUACCGCAUAAAUCCAAGAACCGCAUGGUUCUUGGCUGAAAGAUGGCGUAAGCUAUCGCUUUUGGAUGGACCCGCGGCGUAUUAGCUAGUUGGUGAGGUAACGGCUCACCAAGGCAAUGAUACGUAGCCGAACUGAGAGGUUGAUCGGCCACAUUGGGACUGAGACACGGCCCAAACUCCUACGGGAGGCAGCAGUAGGGAAUCUUCCACAAUGGACGCAAGUCUGAUGGAGCAACGCCGCGUGAGUGAAGAAGGCUUUCGGGUCGUAAAACUCUGUUGUUGGAGAAGAAUGGUCGGCAGAGUAACUGUUGUCGGCGUGACGGUAUCCAACCAGAAAGCCACGGCUAACUACGUGCCAGCAGCCGCGGUAAUACGUAGGUGGCAAGCGUUAUCCGGAUUUAUUGGGCGUAAAGCGAGCGCAGGCGGUUUUUUAAGUCUGAUGUGAAAGCCCUCGGCUUAACCGAGGAAGUGCAUCGGAAACUGGGAAACUUGAGUGCAGAAGAGGACAGUGGAACUCCAUGUGUAGCGGUGAAAUGCGUAGAUAUAUGGAAGAACACCAGUGGCGAAGGCGGCUGUCUGGUCUGUAACUGACGCUGAGGCUCGAAAGCAUGGGUAGCGAACAGGAUUAGAUACCCUGGUAGUCCAUGCCGUAAACGAUGAAUGCUAGGUGUUGGAGGGUUUCCGCCCUUCAGUGCCGCAGCUAACGCAUUAAGCAUUCCGCCUGGGGAGUACGACCGCAAGGUUGAAACUCAAAGGAAUUGACGGGGGCCCGCACAAGCGGUGGAGCAUGUGGUUUAAUUCGAAGCAACGCGAAGAACCUUACCAGGUCUUGACAUCUUUUGAUCACCUGAGAGAUCAGGUUUCCCCUUCGGGGGCAAAAUGACAGGUGGUGCAUGGUUGUCGUCAGCUCGUGUCGUGAGAUGUUGGGUUAAGUCCCGCAACGAGCGCAACCCUUAUGACUAGUUGCCAGCAUUUAGUUGGGCACUCUAGUAAGACUGCCGGUGACAAACCGGAGGAAGGUGGGGAUGACGUCAAAUCAUCAUGCCCCUUAUGACCUGGGCUACACACGUGCUACAAUGGAUGGUACAACGAGUUGCGAGACCGCGAGGUCAAGCUAAUCUCUUAAAGCCAUUCUCAGUUCGGACUGUAGGCUGCAACUCGCCUACACGAAGUCGGAAUCGCUAGUAAUCGCGGAUCAGCACGCCGCGGUGAAUACGUUCCCGGGCCUUGUACACACCGCCCGUCACACCAUGAGAGUUUGUAACACCCGAAGCCGGUGGCGUAACCCUUUUAGGGAGCGAGCCGUCUAAGGUGGGACAAAUGAUUAGGG